ensembl:ncRNA T02E9.16 ncRNA
CUAUUGCUAUGCGGAAUCACGGUGAGGUAGAUUUGAAUCUGGGUCAGAAGCUGCCUAGAGAAGCUUAGAUGCUUUACCCUGUAAACUAGUGAAACAAGAGAACCGAUCGGUUAGCGCGGUGGGUAGAAAAUGCUUUGGCGGGUUUGAUUGAUAGUGAUAAGCUGCGAGCGUCCGGUUUUUUGGCUGGAUUGUCAAUAGGAUUG